UACCAGCUCUCCGAGUGGUAGGGAUGAUUAUUGGGCUUAAAGCGUCCGUAGCCGGCUUAGCAAGUCUCCUGUUAAAUUCAGCGACCUAAUCGUUGAGCCGCGGGAGAUACUACUAGGCUAGGAGGCGGGAGAGGUCAACGGUACUUCCGGGGUAGGGGUGAAAUCCUAUAAUCCCGGGAGGACCACCAGUGGCGAAGGCUGUUGACUAGAACGCGCUCGACGGUGAGGGACGAAAGCUGGGGGAGCGAACCGGAUUAGAUACCCGGGUAGUCCCAGCUGUAAACGAUGCGAGCUAGGUGUUGGGGUGGCUACGUGCCACUUCAGUGCCGCAGGGAAGCCAUUAAGCUCGCCGCCUGGGGAGUACGGCCGCAAGGCUGAAACUUAAAGGAAUUGGCGGGGGAGCGACCACAAGGCGUGAAGCUUGCGGUUC
rnacentral:rRNA from 1 species